GCUGGUAAAAGAGAACCAGAU
rnacentral:miRNA from 17 species